GGUGUUUACUGUCGAACUGAGCACUCUACCGUUUACUGUCUGGUGGUGCUCUUCACCGAGUGUCACCAGUGGUCGGUACGUUUACUUUGAAAAAAUUAGAGUGCUCAAAGCGGUUUUUACACGACCGAAUACUGUUGCAUGGAAUAAUGAAAUAGGACUUUGGUUCUAUUUUGUUGGUCUUCGGAACCAAGGUAAUGAUUAAGAGGGACAGACGGGGGCAUUAGUAUUGCGACGCUAGAGGUGAAAUUCUUGGACCGUCGCAAGACUAACUAAAGCGAAAGCAUUUGCCAAGAAUGUUUUCAUUAAUCAAGAACGAAAGUUAGAGGUUCGAAGGCGAUCAGAUACCGCCCUAGUUCUAACCAUAAACGAUGCCAACCAGCAAUCAGCCUGUGUUCUCUUGAUGACACGGCUGGCGGCUUCCGGGAAACCAAAGUCUUUCGGUUCCAGGGGAAGUAUGGUUGCAAAGCUGAAACUUAAAGGAAUUGACGGAAGGGCACCACCAGGAGUGGAGCCUGCGGCUUAAUUUGACUCAACACGGGGAAACUCACCCGGCCCGGACACUGUGAGGAUUGACAGGUUGAAGCCCUUUCUUGAUUCAGUGGGUGGUGGUGCAUGGCCGUUCUUAGUUGGUGGAGUGAUUUGUCUGGUUAAUUCCGAUAACGAACGAGACUCUAGCCUACUAAUUAGACCGUGGCGUCCUCGUGCCGCCACGGCGCUUCCUAGAGGGACAGACGG
rnacentral:rRNA from 1 species